rnacentral:misc_RNA from 1 species
GAUGAAGAACGUAGUGAAAUGCGAUAAGUAAUGUGAAUUGCAGAAUUCAGUGAAUCAUCGAAUCUUUGAACGCACAUUGCGCCCCCUGGUAUUCCGGGGGGCAUGCCUGUCCGAGCGUCAUUACAACCCUCAAGCUCAGCUUGGUGUUGGGCCCCGCCGCCCCGGCGGGACCUAAAGUCAGUGGCGGUGCCGUCCGGCUCCGAGCGUAGUAAUUCUUCUCGCUCUGGAGGUCCGGUCGUGUGCUCGCCAGCAACCCCCAAUUUUUUUCAGGUUGACCUCGGAUCAGGUAGGGAUACCCGCUGAACUUAAGCAUAUCAAUAAGCGGAGGA